rnacentral:tRNA from 1 species
GAGGGUACAGCUCAGUGGUAGAGCACGUGCUUAGCAUGCACAGGAUCCUGGGUUCUAUCUCCAGUGCCUCCA